UGAGGAAUAUUGCACAAUGGGCGCAAGCCUGAUGCAGCGACGCCGCGUGAGUGAUGAAGGCCUUCGGGUCGUAAAGCUCUUUUCUAGGUGACGAGAACGGACGGUAGCCUAGGAAUAAGUGUCGGCUAACUACGUGCCAGCAGCCGCGGUAAAACGUAGGACACAAGCGUUAUCCGGAGUUACUGGGCGUAAAGGGCGUGUAGGCGGAUCGGUAAGUCUGCUCUGAAAGCUCCUGGCUAAACUGGGAGAGGCGAGCGGAGACUGUCGGUCUAGAGUGAGGAAGAGGAAAGUGGAAUUCCGCGUGUAGUGGUGAAAUGCGUAGAGAUGCGGAGGAACACCAGUGGCGAAAGCGGCUUUCUGGUCCUUAACUGACGCUGAGGCGCGAAAGCAUGGGGAGCGAACGGG
rnacentral:rRNA from 1 species